ensembl:snRNA U6 U6 spliceosomal RNA
GUGCUCACUUUUGCAGCACUAAAAUUUGAAUGAUACAGAAAAUAUUGCCCCUGAGCAAGAAUGGCAUGCAAAUUGUAAAGUGUUCCAUAUUUUC